rnacentral:tRNA from 1 species
GGGGUUGUGGCUCAGUGGUAGAGUGCUCGCCUCACAUGUUCGAGACCCUGAGUUUGAGCCUCAGCACCACA